rnacentral:lncRNA from 1 species
AUUUUUCAAUGUUUCUUUUUGGGGCGGUAAUAACAGCUUAGAGUUCUGAGUAUCAGAGUGAGAAUAAUGAAGCUGAUUCCCAGCAUUCAGUCUUUUUGUUUGCAGCUUUUCCUCCAUGCCCCCCACCUUGUACCCUCCCCCCUUCACUUAGCUUGAACAAGGAAAACAGAUUGAGCAGCUUUGUCAUGCAUGAAUAUGAGGCUACAGAUCCUGGGAAAGAUACGAACUUCAGAGAAUGAGUUAUUGGCAGGAAUGGACUGCUUCAUACUCAUACUGAUCAACAAGAAACAAGGAGGAAAGUGAAGCCUAAUAGAAGCAACCUCCUUCCUCAAGUGCUAUCUUCACUGGAGUUUGGUGGUGUCCCUCCUUCCUUUUUUCACAUGGAAUCUCACAUCUGUGAAGAAAAGAAAAUUUCCACAACUUGUCCAGUAUUUCAAAGAUUUGCAAUGUAG